rnacentral:rRNA from 1 species
GGCGAACGCUGGCGGCGUGCUUAACACAUGCAAGUCAAACGGAAAGGCCCUGCUUGCAGGGUCCUCGAGUGGCGAACGGGUGAGUAACACGGGGGUGAUCUGCCCUGCACUUCGGGGUAAGCCUGGGAAACUGGGUCUAAUACCGGAUAGGAGCCAUUUUUAGUGUGAUGGUUGGAAAGUUUUUUCGGUGUAGGAUGAGCUCGCGGCCUAUCAGCUUGUUGGUGGGGUAAUGGCCUACCAAGGCGGCGACGGGUAGCCGGCCUGAGAGGGUGGACGGCCACCCUGGGACUGAGAUACGGCACAGACUCCUAAUGGAGGAAGCAGUGGGGAAUAUUGAACAAGGGGCGCAAGCCUGAUGCAGCGACGCUGCGGGGGGGAUGACGGCCUUGUGGUUGAAAACUCCUUUCGCUAGGGAAGAAGCUUUUUGUGACGGUACCUAGAUAAGAAGCACCGGCUAACUACGUG